rnacentral:rRNA from 1 species
UACAGAGGUCCCAAGCGUUGUUCGGAUUCACUGGGCGUAAAGGGUGCGUAGGUGGCGGGGUAAGUCGGAUGUGAAAUCUCCGAGCUCAACUCGGAAAUGGCAUUGGAAACUACCUUGCUCGAGGGUUGGAGGGGGGACUGGAAUACUUGGUGUAGCAGUGAAAUGCGUAGAUAUCAAGUGGAACACCAGUGGCGAAGGCGAGUCCCUGGACAACUCCUGACACUGAGGCACGAAAGCUAGGGGAGCAAACAG